ensembl:lincRNA
GCAAUUUUAGAGGUUUAAACUGCAUGUCCAAUGCUUGGCAGCAGCAGUAUCCAAUUCUACAGUGUGAUUUGGGGGAAUUUUCCUCCUGGCAGUAUAGCUUCAGGUUGCUUUUUAAGGCCUUCCCAAAAUUCCGUGAAACAAACAUGAUUCUUUCAACACAAUCCAUUAGAAUCAUGUCCUCUGCUUGCCACAAGAAACUGCGCUAGCAGGUGCUCCCACUUUUCUCCUUCUGGCAGCCCAAGCCUUCUCAGUUUUCAACACUGUUCUUCAAUGUCAACUUUGCUUGGAAGCGUCCUUGCAGGGUAGCACCACUGCUUUUAAACUUUGGAUAGCACCCUUGACAUGUAUUUCAAUCUGGUCGUGAAUACUGACAUCUUCCAGCUAUUGUGUUUUUUGUUUGUUUGCAUUGCUUAAAGAAUUUGUGCAGAAGAUUUAACAUUGUAGACCUCUGAGAAGUGUAUAAACUGUCAGUCUAAAAGCAAGUGAGGUAAAGGGCCUUUCUAAAAGGGCUGCCUUGGGUAAUUCACUAUAUAACCUUGGAAGUAACUUAAUCAUUUCAAGCUUCCAUUUCCCUAUCUAUGAAGAAAUUGGGACAAUUGGUGCUUGUACAAAAGAGACACAAGGAGACUGAGGCUCAUGAGGACCAUAUAUCACAGAGGCAGAGGGUAUAUGAACUGUGGUCCAGCCAGGCUUCAGUAGUUGUUCUGAUCUUGAAAACCAAGGAUCGAGGAACAUUUCAGAAAGGCCUUGAUAUUUAAAGAGGUAAAUCCUUUCCUGCUGAGAGUAGAAGCAUCAUAGAGCAUGUUCUGGACAAUUUCUGGUGACUCAUCCCUAGCCCCUAUCCAGAAUUACCUAAUAUGAUGUUACCCUUGUCUGCUACUGGCUGGCACAAUCAUAAGAAGUCACUAGCUCGUGUCUGCCCUUCCCUAGGACUUCCGUGUCACCUGGCUUAUCCAAGCCCUCUUCGGUGGUCUGUGGGACAUUUUUUGUACUUUAAGAUUAGAGUGCCUACAAGUAGGAAGAAGGACAUAGCACCAUCGCCACUCAGAUGGCUCCAACGGCUCUAUUAUGCAAAGGAUACAUUUUACCGUCCUGGAGAGUUUUGUGGAACAGAGCUGGAGUUGAGCCACAGACAGAAAACAAUGCAUAUCAAAGAUGGCAGAGUAAAACAUCGACUGUCUACUGAAACACAAUCGCAGUCUUUGCCUGGGGUAGCCGAGUCUAAUUGAAGCCAUCGUUUCACAACCGAGAGGGAACUUUCUCUGGAGAAGCUGAGGAAGCCUGAAAGCAACGACAGAGAAAGCUGCUGCUGCUGCUGCUGCUGCGGUCCUCGAGGUCAAAUUGCGAUGGAAGUGACGUGUGUUGGCAUCUGCCUGUUUUACUUCUGGGCUCGCUUCCCAUUUUCUCAGUGCCUCCUCAGUUCCCUCCGAGUUGGUGGAAACUUGUUUCCUCUUAGCCUCUGUUCUUCCUUGGUUUUAUCAAAACAUGAGAUAAGGAAGGGCUUUAUUUCAGCCAAAUUUUCUCUGUGUGAAAUGAUGACAAUGAAUGGUUUCUCCCAUAGUUAUUUGCAUUUUAAGUAUCAGUAAUAAAUAUGGAAGAAAAUAGUUUUCUUCUUGGUAACUUACAUUUAUAUUCUUAACAAGGGGUGGAAACAUUUUUUAAGGAAAAAAUCAAUUCUCCCUUAACAUCUCUCUGGUUGUAUAUUUAAUACUUAAAGUGGGUCAUAAUGGCCAGAAUGCACUCCUAUUCAACCUCCUCAGAGGAUAGAAGAAGAAUUUUGCUUUUGAUAUAUAGAGGAGUAUCUUAGAAAUCUGUGAGAAAUCAGUGUAUUAGUUCUCAUGGAGAUAGUCAAGCUUACUUUGAGAUCUUGUUCUCUUCCAUUUUAUCUUUCUUU